UGUAAUGGAACGGGUUGCUUCUGAUCCCCUCCAUUACAACAGGAGUAACAUCAUGUUCAUGUCUGUUUUCAUUAUUUCCCUUUACAGGUAAAAUUCUGACUAAUAAGGUUUACAGCUAUAAUUAAGUUUAUUAUGUUUGUCUAAAGAGCAGGGAGCACUUGUGGUGUCUGCAAUAACUUGAGUUUUCUUUAGAGCUAUACUCACAUUACCUUUCUGGCUAGCUGAGUCCUGUCCUACACUUCUUAUUGCUGUGUUUGUAACCCAGGUUAAAAUAGCCUUCAUUUGAAUUAACUAAUUACUAUUUCAUAAUAAAUAAUUAUAAAAUGCGAAAAUAGGAAAGAAUAAAUAGGGCAAAAUAGUUUCAAAUAAAUAAAUAAUAAUAAAAUAAAAGUUACAGACAGUGUGAUUUAUAUUCAUGUAAUUUAUUUUGUUUUAUUUGAAACUGUGUGAAGUUCAUUUAUUUUGUCAGCAGUUAGAACGGUCAAGUGUAAGAAAAAAGUAUCUUAUUCUGAAGGGUCACAUGGCUGUGUAGUCAAGGUGACUAGCCCCAUCCCUGCGUUAGGGGAAGGGAGAGAGACAGACCGAGAGAGAGAGCGAGAGCGAGGGAGUGAAGAGUCUUGCUGAGCUAAGGGAGAUCAAAGCGAACCGCCGAUUAGCAAGGCUACGAACAGCUGAAAACUUUCUCCUCAUUUUUGGAGGAGGAGUUUUUUAAGAGUGUUGUCUGUUGGACUUGGCCUUUUUAUGAAGUUCUACUCAAGCCGGACCGGAAAUUUCCGAGCCAAAUUGCCGAAUUGGACUACGAUGGCGAGCCGUUGACCCAGGAACCCAGAAAAGCGGAUCUAGAGAACCAGGAUCAACCCUUCAAAAUCACCACAAGGAAAGACUGAUUGGAGCACAAGUUGUUCAGUAAUUUACUGGAUUAUUAUUAUUGUGUUUUAUUUUUUCUUUUUGAAUUGUAUUCACGCACAGUAUUGGUGUGGAUUGUACAUUUUUUUUGUUGGGUAAAAAUAGAAACCAGAGUUAGUUAAAAUAGGAGAUUAAAAAUAUAUUUAUAUAUCAUAAUCUCUUAAAAUAAAACUAAACACCUAAAAUAGAUUUUAAAAGAAUAAAAUUAAUUAGAUUAACCUUCUUAGCUAGAACUAAAUUAGAACUACAAUUUAGGUUAAAUAAACAGCAUCUUUUAAAACGUAACAUUAGGUUUAAAAGUUCAAAUAGGGAUUAAUCUGGAAGAACAGGAAAUUAUUUUGAAUUGAUUUUGUGUUAUUGUUUGUCAAUUGUCUGUAUUUAUAUUGUCUAUUGUUCUUUUUUUUUUUUUCCUUUUUCAACUAAUAAUAAGCCGGCAGUUAAACUUACUUUCCCUUGUCUGUGGUCAUUUAUAUAGUAGCUCAAUUUCCACUCCAGCAGCCGAACCUAACACUGGUCCUAUUAUUGUUGUUUUAACUGUUAACACGUCGUGAGUGUUACAUGUUGGUAUAACCACAAUGUUUUUGUGCAAUGUUCAGCACUCAGUAUGUGACAAUGUAUUGUUUAAAACUGUUUUUGAAAUACCAUUACAACACUGGAAACGAAA